AUGAACGCUGGCGGCGUGCUUAACACAUGCAAGUCGAACGAUGAACCUCACUUGUGGGGGGAUUAGUGGCGAACGGGUGAGUAACACGUGAGUAACCUGCCCUUGACUCUGGGAUAAGCCUGGGAAACCGGGUCUAAUACUGGAUACGACCUUCCCGCGCAUGCGGUGUUGGUGGAAAGCUUUUGUGGUUUUGGAUGGACUCGCGGCCUAUCAGCUUGUUGGUGGGGUAAUGGCCUACCAAGGCGACGACGGGUAGCCGGCCUGAGAGGGUGACCGGCCACACUGGGACUGAGACACGGCCCAGACUCCUACGGGAGGCAGCAGUGGGGAAUAUUGCACAAUGGGCGCAAGCCUGAUGCAGCGACGCCGCGUGAGGGAUGAAGGCCUUCGGGUUGUAAACCUCUUUCAGUAGGGAAGAAGCUGAUUCCUUUUGGGGUUGGUGACGGUACCUGCAGAAGAAGCGCCGGCUAACUACGU
rnacentral:rRNA from 1 species